rnacentral:rRNA from 1 species
UGGGGAAUAUUGCGCAAUGGGCGAAAGCCUGACGCAGCGACGCCGCGUGAAGGAUGAAGGUCUUCGGAUUGUAAACUUCUGUUAAGUGGGAAAAAAGCAUCAUUCCUAAUACGGAUGGUGGAUGAUGGUACCACUAGAGAAAGCACCGGCUAAUCUCGUGCCAGCAGCCGCGGUAAUACGAGAGGUGCAAGCGUUAUUCGGAAUUAUUGGGCGUAAAGGGUGCGUAGACGGUGUGCUAAGUCUGUUGUUAAAUCUUUCGGCUUAACCGAAAAUCAGCAAUGGAAACUGGCAUGCUAGAGUGUGAAAGAGAGAAGUGGAAUUCUUGGAGUAGCGGUAAAAUGCGUAGAUCUCAAGAGGAACACCGAUGGCGAAGGCAGCUUCUUGGUUCACUACUGACGUUGAGGCACGAAAGCGUGGGGAGCAAACAGG